AGGAGUUCCACAGCUUUAGACAAAGAUGGAAUGAUUAUGGUACGAGUCAUCUUUCCUUUAACGGAAAAGGGAAUGUAUGCGAAGUGAAACUCAAGAGGAACCAAGACAAAGUUCACUGAGCAACGGUCAGGAUCAGGAGAGGGGAGAAAAAAAGUGCUUGCAAGGUUGGGGAACAGAGUAACUAGAGAACGCGGUGGUCGGGAUAAAUGUUGCAAGGAGAGAGUAGUGGAUUCAAGGUGAGACUUGUGACUGUGAAACAAUCUCAGGUUCUUGGGCUUCCUCCAUGGUGGUUGUAGGAGCUGAUUCUGAUACUGCAGGAAGUGGUUCUGACAUUUCUGGACUCCAUUCUUCUUCAUAAUUGACUCUGCUCUCCUCAACUGAUUGAUGUGUCAUCUCCAGAUGAUAUCAGAUGCAGUCUCCACUGUGCAAGAGAGAGGUCCAGUUUUGUCCUUCAUCUUUCCAAGUACUCACUUUUGAUCACCUCUGUAGCCCCUGGCCAGGACUGCUUGUCCAGGAGUGAAACAUUGAACCUGCUUGUUUGAGGAGCCUUCAAUUCGUCUCAGCUCUUUGUCCUGCAUACUCCUUCUGUGAGUGGAUUUGAGGAGAUCCAAGCGUGACCACAAGGACAACAUUGCUCGUGAAUUGGUUCCAAAAAUGCACAUUCUUGCUCUUCAGUUUCUUAUUCAGAAAUUGUGAUUCCAACUGGUACAAGUGCCUUUAUUUCCAUGUUCAGUGGCGUGACAUGGAAGAUGGGCCCUCUGGGGCGUGGCUCUGUGGACAACCGAUUCCUUGCCAGUGUUGCUGACUGAGGCAUUGCGGGAGAAGGAACAUCAGGAUUUUGCUGUGAUGGAUGUACGGGGGGGGGGGGGGGGUGUCUCUAGUCUAACAACCACUUUCUCUCUCUUUAAGAUUUUGAGUCUGGAGAAUCUCGGAAUAAAAAAACAAUGCAGCAGACUAUAACAAUGUAGUGACUGCUAGUCUCCCCAUUCACUGGGCAAUGGGUGACAUCUCUCUGUCCCUUAUUAGUGACAGAGAAAGCCUGUGGCUGUCAAACUGUUGGAUAAGCAAUAGAUUUUGUUAACUGCAGAUCAUGGUCUCUCUUUGGGUGCUUUGCUAUUGCUUGGUGGGAGGUGGGCGCUGAUACUUUUUGCUGAAAUGGAUGGAGGGGGGAGAUUAAUGCAUUGAUGCUUUGCAGCUGCUUGUGCAGGCGAGGGGUGAGACGGGGCUUUGGGGUUCUAAUGUUUUCUCAGUCAUUCAUUCUUUUGGGUUCUUCUGUUUUUUGUGGAUGUCUAUGAAGAACAGACAUCAGGUUGUAUACUGUAUACAUUCUUUGAUAAUAAACAGAGCCAUUUGAAGCCUU